rnacentral:rRNA from 1 species
CGGCAAAAGCUCAAAUUUGAAAUCUAGCACCUUCGGUGUUCGAGUUGUAAUUUGAAGAUGGUAACCUUGGGUUUGGCUCUUGUCUAUGUUCCUUGGAACAGGACGUCAUAGAGGGUGAGAAUCCCGUCUGAUGAGAUGCCCAUUCCUAUGUAAGGUGCUAUCGAAGAGUCGAGUUGUUUGGGAAUGCAGCUCUAAGUGGGUGGUAAAUUCCAUCUAAAGCUAAAUAUUGGCGAGAGACCGAUAGCGAACAAGUACAGUGAUGGAAAGAUGAAAAGAACUUUGAAAAGAGAGUGAAAAAGUACGUGAAAUUGUUGAAAGGGAAGGGCAUUAGAUCAGACUUGGUGUUUUACGAUUAUCUUCUCUUCUUGAGUUGUGCACUCGUAUUUCACUGGGCCAGCAUCGAUUCGGAUGGCAAGAUAAUGGCAGUUGAAUGUGGCUUCACUUCGGUGGAGUGUUAUAGCUUCUGCUGAUAUUGCCUGUCUGGAUCGAGGGCUGCGUCUUUUGACUAGGAUGCUGGCGUAAUGAUCUAAUGCCGCCCGUCUUGA